rnacentral:rRNA from 1 species
UGAGGAAGUUUAGACAAUGGGCGCAAGCCUGAUCCAGCCAUGCCGCGUGAGUGACGAAGGCCUUAGGGUUGUAAAGCUCUUUUGCCGGGGACGAUAAUGACGGUACCCGGAGAAUAAGUCCCGGCUAACUUCGUGCCAGCAGCCGCGGUAAUACGAAGGGGACUAGCGUUGUUCGGAAUUACUGGGCGUAAAGCGCACGUAGGCGGAUUUGUCAGUCAGGGGUGAAAUCCCGGGGCUCAACCUCGGAACUGCCUUUGAUACAGCAAGUCUUGAGUCCGAUAGAGGUGAGUGGAAUUCCUAGUGUAGAGGUGAAAUUCGUAGAUAUUAGGAAGAACACCGGUGGCGAAGGCGGCUCACUGGAUCGGUACUGACGCUGAGGUGCGAAAGCGUGGGGAGCAAACAGGAUUAGAUACCCUCGUAGUCCCUGAGCGGGCUGGCAAGGCGCAU